rnacentral:misc_RNA from 1 species
GAAAUGCGAUACGUAAUGUGAAUUGCAGAAUUCAGUGAAUCAUCGAGUCUUUGAACGCACAUUGCGCCCCCUGGUAUUCCGGGGGGCAUGCCUGUCCGAGCGUCAUUGCUGCCCUCAAGCACGGCUUGUGUGUUGGGCCCCCGUCCCCCCCCCAAGGGGACGGGCCCGAAAGGCAGCGGCGGCACCGUGUCCGGUCCUCGAGCAUAUGGGAAGCAACUUUUUGUCACCCGCUCCUGUAGGUCCGGCCGGCGGCCUGCCCAACCCCAACCUUUUUUUCAACCAGGUUGACCUCGGAUCAGGUAGGGAUACCCGCUGAACUUAAGC